rnacentral:rRNA from 1 species
UACAGAGGGGGCAAGCGUUAAUCGGAAUUACUGGGCGUAAAGCGUGCGCAGGCGGUUUUGUAAGUCUGUCGUGAAAUCCCCGGGCUCAACCUGGGAAUUGCGAUGGAGACUGCAAGGCUAGAAUCUGGCAGAGGGGGGUAGAAUUCCACGUGUAGCAGUGAAAUGCGUAGAGAUGUGGAGGAACACCGAUGGCGAAGGCAGCCCCCUGGGUCAAGAUUGACGCUCAUGCACGAAAGCGUGGGGAGCAAACAGG